UGGGGAAUAUUGCAUAAUGGGCGAAAGCCUGAUGCAGCAACGCCGCGUGAGUGAUGAAGGUCUUCGGAUUGUAAAGCUCUGUCUUUUGGGACGAUAAUGACGGUACCAAAGGAGGAAGCCACGGCUAACUACGUGCCAGCAGCCGCGGUAAUACGUAGGUGGCGAGCGUUGUCCGGAUUUACUGGGCGUAAAGGGUGCGUAGGCGGAUGUUUAAGUGAGAUGUGAAAUACCCGGGCUUAACUUGGGUGCUGCAUUUCAAACUGGAUAUCUAGAGUGCAGGAGAGGAGAAUGGAAUUCCUAGUGUAGCGGUGAAAUGCGUAGAGAUUAGGAAGAACACCAGUGGCGANGGCGAUUCUCUGGACUGUAACUGACGCUGAGGCACGAAAGCGUGGGUAGCAAACAGGAUAGAUACCCUGGUAGUCCACGCCGUAAACGAUGAGUACNAGGUGUAGGAG
rnacentral:rRNA from 1 species